GGGCCGUUAGCUCAAUUGGUAGAGCAGCUGCCUCUUAAGCAGCAGGUUACAGGUUCGAGACCCGUACGGCUCA
rnacentral:tRNA from 1 species